rnacentral:rRNA from 1 species
GACGAACGCUGGCGGCAUGCCUAACACAUGCAAGUCGAACGAGACGUUCCUGUCUUUGUGCGCACGGCGGCUGAACACGUGGGAACCUGCCCGUAGGUUCGGAAUAACUCCCCUUGAGGUGUGCUAAUACCGGUGAAUGUCUUCGGACCAAGGAUUUUUCGCCUCUGGCUGGGGCCUUGUUGGAUUAGCUGGUUGGUAGGGUAAAAGCCUACCAAGGCGACGAUCCAUAGCUGGUCGGGUAGGAGGACAAGCCACACUGGGGCUGAGACCCGGCCCAGACUGCUAGGGGGGGCAGCAGUGGGGAAUACUGGGCAAUGGGCGAAAGCCUGGCAAAGCAAUGUGGCGUGAGUGAGGAAGGGCUUAGGGUUGUAAAGCUCUUUUAGCCGGGAUGAGAAUGACAGUAACGGGUAAAUAAGCACCGGCUAACUACGUG